GGCUAGGUAACAUAAUGGAAAUGUAUCGGAUUGCAAAUCUUGGAAUGACAAUUCGACCCCGUCCUUGGCCU
rfam:Citrus clementina cultivar Clemenules unplaced genomic scaffold scaffold_8, whole genome shotgun sequence.